rnacentral:rRNA from 1 species
UAGGGAAUCUUCGGCAAUGGACGAAAGUCUGACCGAGCAACGCCGCGUGAGUGAAGAAGGUUUUCGGAUCGUAAAACUCUGUUGUUAGAGAAGAACAAGGACGUUAGUAACUGAACGUCCCCUGACGGUAUCUAACCAGAAAGCCACGGCUAACUACGUGCCAGCAGCCGCGGUAAUACGAAGGUGGCAAGCGUUGUCCGGAUUUAUUGGGCGUAAAGCGAGCGCAGGCGGUUUCUUAAGUCUGAUGUGAAAGCCCCCGGCUCAACCGGGGAGGGUCAUUUGAAACUGGUAGACUUGAGUGCAGGAGAGGAGAGUGGAAUUCCAUGUGUAGCGGUGAAAUGCGUAGAUAUAUGGAGGAACACCAGUGGCGAAGGCGGCUCUCUGGUCUGUAACUGACGCUGAGGCUCGAAAGCGUGGGGAGCAAACAGG